rnacentral:rRNA from 2 species
GCUAUACAUGCAGUCGAGCGGAGUUUUGAAAGCUUGCUUUUCAAAACUUAGCGGCGGACGGGUGUGUAACACGUGGGCAACCUGCCCUUGAGACGGGGAUAACUCCGGGAAACCGGAGCUAAUACCGGAUAACACAUAUCUUCGCAUGAGGAUAUGUUAGAAGGUGGCUUUUAGCUACCACUCAAGGAUGGGCCCGCGGCGCAUUAGCUAGUUGGUGAGGUAACGGCUCACCAAGGCGACGAUGCGUAGCCGACCUGAGAGGGUGAUCGGCCACACUGGGACUGAGACACGGCCCAGACUCCUACGGGAGGCAGCAGUAGGGAAUCUUCCGCAAUGGACGAAAGUCUGACGGAGCAACGCCGCGUGAGUGAUGAAGGUUUUCGGAUCGUAAAGCUCUGUUGUUAGGGAAGAACAAGUACCUGUUAAAUAAGCAGGUACCUUGACGGUACCUAACCAGAAAGCCACGGCUAACUACGUGCCAGCAGCCGCGGUAAUACGUAGGUGGCAAGCGUUGUCCGGAAUUAUUGGGCGUAAAGCGCGCGCAGGCGGUUCCUUAAGUCUGAUGUGAAAGCCCACGGCUCAACCGUGGAGGGUCAUUGGAAACUGGGGAACUUGAGUGCAGAAGAGGAGAGCGGAAUUCCACGUGUAGCGGUGAAAUGCGUAGAGAUGUGGAGGAACACCAGUGGCGAAGGCGGCUCUCUGGUCUGUACUGACGCUGAGGCGCGAAAGCGUGGGGAGCGAACAGGAUUAGAUACCCUGGUAGUCCACGCCGUAAACGAUGAGUGCUAAGUGUUAGAGGGUUUCCGCCCUUUAGUGCUGCAGCAACGCAUAAGCACUCGCUGGGGGAGUACGGUCGCAGACUG